GUGGCCUCACCAGGGCAGAGUAAAGGGGGAGAAUCACCUCCCUCAACCUGCUGGCCACGCUCCUUAGAAUGCACCUCAGAAUACCAUUGGCC
rnacentral:miRNA from 7 species